rnacentral:lncRNA from 1 species
UUCAGGUAGGAACAGAGCUUCCUGGCUGGGCGUGCCUGAGAGAUUUGGCCAUUCAGUUCCUCGGAGCAGGCGUUCCAGCCUCUGGUGGCCGGUGCUGGGAUCACAGAGCUCUCAAUUUAGGUGGCCCUGAGUUUCAGGAUUCACUGACUCUAGAUUCAGUGAUUCUAGAUGCGACUGCUUGUGGCUACUGAGGUUGUCCUCGGAGGCCAAAGGCGUCAGAUACGACACCUGGAAGUUGAAUUUACAGAAUUGCCAGCUGCCCAACAUGGAUUCUUGGAACCAAACCUUUAGAAUUCAACAAACAAACAACCCAGGGGGCUGGAGAGAUGGCUCAGCACUCAAGAGCACUGACUGCUGCUCUUCCAGAGGUCCUGAGUUCAAUUCCCAGCAACCACAUGGUGGUUCACAACCAUCUGUAAUGAGUUCCAAUGCCCUCUUCUGGUGUGUCUGAAGACAGCGACAUAAAAUGAAUAAAUCUUUUUAAAAACCCAA